rnacentral:rRNA from 1 species
GAGGAAAAGGAAACUAACCAGGGAUUCCCCCAGUAACGGCGAGUGAAGGGGGAUUAGCCCAGCAUCGAAGCCUAUAGACUUUUGUUUAUAAGGCAAUGUGAUGUUAUGGAUUAUGCCUAGGGUCACUGAUCAACUCGAAGUCCAAUAUUGAAUGUGGCUUUUGUAUUUAGCCCAGAGUGGGUGAUAGGCCCGUGCGAGUUGAUUGUUAGUUAUGUUGAGUGGCCUCUAGAUGCAUAAUCUUUGGAGUCGGAUUGCUUGAGAAUGCAGUCCAAAGUUGGUGGUAAACUCCAUCAAAGGCUAAAUACUGGCAUGAGUCCCGAAAGCCAAACAAU